GUAGGUGGCAAGCGUUGUCCGGAUUUACUGGGCGUAAAGGGCGUGCAGGCGGUUCGUUAAGUCUAGGGUGAAAGCUCCCGGCUCAACUGGGAGAGGUCCUUGGAUACUGGCGGACUUGAGGUGGGUAGAGGAGAGUGGAAUUCUCGGUGUAGUGGUGAUAUGCGUAGAUAUCGAGAGGAACACCAGUGGCGAAGGCGGCUCUCUGGGCCCUACCUGACGCUGAGACGCGAAAGCGUGGGGAGCGAACCGGAUUAGAUACCCGGGUAGUCCACGCCGUAAACUAUGGACACUAGGUGUGGGGGUAUCGACCCCCCCUCCGUGCCGAAGCUAACGCAAUAAGUGUCCCGCCUGGGGAGUACGGCCGCAAGGCUA
rnacentral:rRNA from 1 species